rnacentral:sRNA from 1 species
AAGGCAUGCCUUUAAGGCAUCCUCUCCCAAAGACUUUCCAGCCCGGUCGAUAUUUCGGCCGGGCUUUUUCUUGUCCGCA